CAGUAGCCGCGGGGAAUACGUAGGUGGCAAGCGUUGUCCGGAAUUAUUGGGCGUAAGGGGCUCGCAGGCGGUCUCUUAAGUCUGAUGUGAAAGCCCCCGGCUCAACCGGGGAGGGUCAUUGGAAACUGGGAAACUUGAGUGCAGAAGAGGAGAGUGGAAUUCCACGUGUAGCGGUGAAAUGCGUAGAGAUGUGGAGGAACACCAGUGGCGAAGGCGACUCUCUGGUCUGUAACUGACGCUGAGGAGCGAAAGCGUGGGGAGCGAAUAGGAUUAGAUACCCCGGUAGUCCCUGUCUCUUAUA
rnacentral:rRNA from 1 species